rnacentral:lncRNA from 1 species
AGGACAGACAGAACAAGGAAAAGGUUGUUUAGAAGCAAGUGGAAAAGACAAACCAGAAAUAUGUCUCAUAUUUGCAAAAGAAGUAUGUGCUAGUCUCAAAUGCCAAAUGUAAUUCAUAUCAGUGGUAACAACAUUAUUACAAAUGGAAUUAUUUACAAUUGGAGGCAUGGCAACAAUUUUGCUGUCAGACAGAUUGUCAUCAUUACAAAAAUCAGACAAAGCACACACAGAAGUAAAAGAAGAACCAAGAGAAGAAGAAGGGGAAGAUGGCACCCAAGACAGUUUGUAUAGGCCAGCUUCCUCUUUACCAAGAUCCAGAGGCCUCUUCAUAGAAGGGUCCUGUAUCAUGUGAAGUAAACAGGAAGUUGGAGUAAACAAAACUAUACAGUGCAAUUGUUUUAUCAACUUGUGAACAGAAAUCAAGUUGNN